rnacentral:rRNA from 1 species
UUAAACUGGAGAGUUUGAUCCUGGCUCAGAACGAACGCUGGCGGCGUGCCUAACACAUGCAAGUCGCACGAGAAACACGUCCUUCGGGGCGUGGAGUAAAGUGGCGCACGGGUGAGUAACACGUGGGUAACCUGCCCUUGGGAUUGGGAUAACUGGCCGAAAGGCCCGCUAAUACCGGAUAAGACCACAUGAGCUCUGGCUCAAGGGGUCAAAGUCGGCCUCUCGAAGAAGCCGGCACCUGAGGAUGGGCCCGCGGACCAUUAGCUAGUUGGUGAGGUAACGGCUCACCAAGGCCGAGAUGGUUAGCUGGUCUGAGAGGAUGAUCAGCCACACUGGAACUGAGAUACGGU